ensembl:sense_intronic 1700129L04Rik RIKEN cDNA 1700129L04 gene
GGUGGCUUCCAUCCCCUCUGGCUGAGCCUCACUCUUUCUUGUGGAGUAAACUUCAGUUGUCGACUAGUGAGUGAUGUUUGUGAGUAGAUUGAACUACUGCUGCUGAUUCCUGUGAACUGAGCUGCUGAUGUCCUGACAACACAGAUUUGAUUUGCUCCAAAUAACUCUUUCUAAACAGGUAUAACUUUGAAUUCUGUUCUCCAAGAAAGUUAUUGCAGAUCUGAGUCUGAUUCCAGGGAGGUCGUCCUAUAGCUGGGCCUUGGAGAUCUGUGCAGUCAUUGCUCCAGAGCAAUUACCCAUCAUAAGAGGAGCUGAGUUAGUGACAACACUUUGAGGGAGAUGAAGUAGACUGUGGCCAAAGCUUCAUCGAGCAUGCUACCCUGUGUAAGAUGACCAUUGAAGAAUGACCUGUAGACCUGUGGGGAUAAAGCUUCCUCUUUCCUCUCUGGGGACUACCCUUGCUCUCAACUCCAAGUCAGAUGUGACCAGACCUAUAGAAUCCUGAGUCUUGAGGCCUCCUCAAAACCUACUGGACCACUACAAGAGAAUGCCUGGGGGAACUGAACAAAGGUCACACAAAGUCGAAGCUGUAUGUCAAUGUGCUGCAUAUCUUCACCUUCAGAGAAGACUAAAGGCCAACGUCAGCACCAGCCAGGGGAAUGACAGUGUAUCAUCUGCAAGUCUGAGACGCCCUUGCUUGUUCGCAAGUACAGCUGGCUCACACACCACAGGCACGUUCUUUGAGACAAAGCUGGAGGAAAUCAGGCCAGACAGAACAGUGAGUUGGGCUAUUGACUCAGCAAGAACAUCACUGCAAAAUCUCCUAGGAAGUUGCAAGGCCAGCAGUUGUCUUAAAAAUAGUGACCAGUUCUAAGGGAGGAUAGAUAAACAAUAAACAAUGGUGGUGUUCUGGGGUCUUGAAUAAUCAAGUCGGCAUCAAGGGGUUAUCCACUAAAAGUUAUUUACUGCCAUUGUCUAUUUCAUAUUUUAUAUUGGGUCAUUUUGGUGACCAAGAGGGCAGUCAGAGAGUGCACUGGAAGGCUUAUGAGCCCCCCGGGUAACAUGAAGCAGGUUGAUCCCACUCCUGCCUUUCCUACUAAGUGCUUGGAGAGCUUCCACACAUUAGACAUGAAACCGGACACUGUGAGAAUUGAUUGGCCCACAGGGAGAAGAGAGAAGAAAUCAUUCUUAACAGCCCUAGUCAGUCAGUGCUGAUCUUAGGCCCUCAAUGGCAAAGGAACACCAUAAGUAGCCACCAUGGAGAGAAGAUGAGUGGCUAGCUCUGGCUUUGUAAAUACAAAUUGCCAUGUGACGGUGAGGGUUGUUUCUAAGUGUAUGUUAUCAGGUCUAAAUUCAUAGUGCUUAUUUAAUUUUCUAAUUAAAUUACUAAUGAAUGCUCUA